GACGAACGCUGGCGGCGUGCUUAACACAUGCAAGUCGAACGGAAAGGCCCUGCUUUUGUGGGGUGCUCGAGUGGCGAACGGGUGAGUAACACGUGAGUAACCUGCCCUUGACUUUGGGAUAACUUCAGGAAACUGGGGCUAAUACCGGAUAGGAGCUACUGCUGCAUGGUGGGGGUUGGAAAGUUUCGGCGGUUGGGGAUGGACUCGCGGCUUAUCAGCUUGUUGGUGGGGUAGUGGCUUACCAAGGCUUUGACGGGUAGCCGGCCUGAGAGGGUGACCGGCCACAUUGGGACUGAGAUACGGCCCAGACUCGUACGGGAGGCAGCAGUGGGGAAUAUUGCACAAUGGGCGGAAGCCUGAUGCAGCAACGCCGCGUGCGGGAUGACGGCCUUCGGGUUGUAAACCGCUGUCGCCUGUGACGAAGCGUGAGUGACGGUAAUGGGUAAAGAAGCACCGGCUAACUACGUG
rnacentral:rRNA from 1 species